AAAUAGGAAGCAAAAUAUUGCAUUUAGUUUCGACCUAAAAGUUUGAUCUUUAGAUCCUUAUUUU
rnacentral:tRNA from 1 species